CUUCACUCUGGCGGCGUGCCUAAUACAUGCAAGUCGAGCGAACAGACGAGGAGCUUGCUCCUCUGACGUUAGCGGCGGACGGGUGAGUAACACGUGGAUAACCUACCUAUAAGACUGGGAUAACUUCGGGAAACCGGAGCUAAUACCGGAUAAUAUAUUGAACCGCAUGGUUCAAUAGUGAAAGACGGUUUUGCUGUCACUUAUAGAUGGAUCCGCGCCGCAUUAGCUAGUUGGUAAGGUAACGGCUUACCAAGGCAACGAUGCGUAGCCGACCUGAGAGGGUGAUCGGCCACACUGGAACUGAGACACGGUCCAGACUCCUACGGGAGGCAGCAGUAGGGAAUCUUCCGCAAUGGGCGAAAGCCUGACGGAGCAACGCCGCGUGAGUGAUGAAGGUCUUCGGAUCGUAAAACUCUGUUAUUAGGGAAGAACAAAUGUGUAAGUAACUAUGCACGUCUUGACGGUACCUAAUCAGAAAGCCACGGCUAACUACGUG
rnacentral:rRNA from 1 species